CCCUUAGAUGCUCUGGGCCGCACGCGCGCUACACUGAUGCAUUCAACGAGUUUCUUCCUGGUCCGAGAGGAAUGGGUAACCUUUUGAAAGUGCAUCGUGAUAGGGAUAGACUAUUGCAAUUAUUGGUCUUCAACGAGGAAUUCCUAGUAGACGUAGUUCAUCAGACUGCAUCGAUUACGUCCCUGCCCUUUGUACACACCGCCCGUCGCUCCUACCGAUUGAAUGCUCAGGUGAGCCAUUCGGACCUUCAUCAUGCCGGUUUCCGGUUUUGAUGAGGGAAAGUCUUGCGAACCUUAUCAUUUAGAGGAAGGAGAAGUCGUAACA
rnacentral:rRNA from 1 species